GCUUCUCCACCACCACCUCCCUAUCACUACUCAUCACCUCCUCCUCCCGUCAAGUCUCCUCCACCACCCUAUCACUACUCAUCACCUCCUCCUCCCGUGAAAUCUCCACCACCUCCAUACCACUACUCGUCGCUUCCUCCUCCUAAAAAGUCUCCGCCACCUCCAUACCAUUACACUUCUCCUCCUCCUCCUAAGAAGUCUCCACCGCCUCCAUACCAUUACUCGUCGCCGCCUCCUCCUAAGAAAUCCCCGCCACCUUCAUACCAUUACAGUUCUCCUCCUCCUCCUCCUAAGAAAUCUCCACCACCACCAUACCAUUAUAGUUCUCCUCCCCCUCCAGUGAAAUCUCCACCGCCUCCAUACCAUUACUCGUCACCACCUCCUCCUAAGAAGUCUCAUCCGCCACCAUAUCAUUACUCGUCUCCUCCCCCUCCAGUGAAAUCUCCACUGCCUCCAUAUCACUACUCAUCGCCUCCUCCUCCUCCUAAAAAGUCUCCACCGCCUCCAUACCAUUACUCUUCAACUCCUCCUCCCAAGAAAUCUCCUCCACCAUCAUACCACUACUCGUCGCCUCCUCCUCCAGUGAAAUCUCCCCCACUUCUAUACCAUUACUCUUCCCCUCCGCCUCCCAAGAAGUCCCCCCCACCACCAUACCACUACUCCUCACCUCCUCCUCCGGUAAAGUCUCCACCGCCUCCAUACCACUACUCGUCACCUCCAUCACCCAAGAAGUCCCCCCCACCACCAUACCACUACUCAUCGCCUCCUCCUCCGGUUAAGUCUCCCCCACCACCGUACCACUACUCAUCACCACCUCCUCCCAAGAGGUCUCCUCCGCCACCGUAUCACUACUCGUCACCACCUCCUCUCAAAAAGUCUCAUCCGCCACCAUACCAUUACACAUCACCUCCACCACCUAAGAAGUCACCAC
rnacentral:lncRNA from 1 species